rnacentral:rRNA from 1 species
UCAAGGUUGACCUCGGAUCAGGUAGGAAUACCCGCUGAACUUAAGCAUAUCAAUAAGCGGAGGAAAAGAAACCAACAGGGAUUGCCUCAGUAACGGCGAGUGAAGCGGCAACAGCUCAAAUUUGAAAUCUGGCCUUCGGGUCCGAGUUGUAAUUUGCAGAGGAUGCGUUCGGCGACGCACUGACCGAGUCCCCUGGAAUGGGGCGCCAUAGAGGGUGAGAGCCCCGUAUGGUCGGCUGCUGAACCGGUGUAAUGCUCCUUCGACGAGUCGAGUAGUUUGGGAAUGCUGCUCUAAAUGGGAGGUAAAUUUCUUCUAAAGCUAAAUAUCGGCUGGAGACCGAUAGCGCACAAGUAGAGUGAUCGAAAGAUGAAAAGCACUUUGAAAAGAGGGUUAAAAAGCACGUGAAAUUGUUGAAAGGGAAGCGCCUAUUACCAGACUCUGUUCUUGGGGAUCAUCCGUCCUUCUGGGCGGUGCACUCCCCUUGGAUGGGGCCAGCAUCGGUUUUCGGCGGGGGAAAAGGACUUAGGGAAUGUGGCUCCCCUCGGGGAGUGUUAUA